rnacentral:tRNA from 9 species
GCUGAAAUAGCUCAGUUGGUAGAGUAACGCACUCGUAACGCGUAGGUCGAGGGUUCGAUCCCCUUUUUCAGCUCCA